ensembl:lncRNA
CUUGGUGCUGGGAUGCACCCGCAGGCUUACUUUCAGCUAGAGGUGCUGAAUAAGGAAACCUGGAGCUCUGAGUCAGAAAUGUUGUCUAAUUCUUGUUCAAAGAGCAAUUUACUUCGGCAGUGAUGUCCAAGUUCAGCAGGUGGCGAUGGAGCGGACGGAGUGGCUUCCGAAGAGCUCGGCGAUCGCUGCGGCCGCAGCUCGGAACGGGAAAGCUGGAGGCGAGCCACACGGUGGCAAUGUGCACAAGGAAAUGAACCGCUGCCCGAAAGCCGCAGCGCUCGGGAUCGCGUCGUUCCGCCUCCGGAUCGACCCGCGGUGCUGUGCUGCGGGAGCUGGGCCGGCAUCUCGAGCACCUUCUCGGUUUUAGAGAGGCCGUAACGAGGGCGGAAGACAAUGUCCCCUUGACGUCUGCAUGAAUGAGCUCAUUUAUCCCCCCCAGCGUCCGGAAACCGUUCCUCCUGCCCCGACAGCUGCAGGCUCUGUUUGCUCAGGGCCAUGGCCAGCCCCACUGCUCCCUGCCCCGCAGAGCCCCAUGCGCAGCAUUGCACCGAGCAGCAGCCGCCGGCACGCCAAGGAGCGCUUCGCCCUGUUUGGGUGAAACGCUGUGGACUGCCGGCCAAGGCUUGGAUUCCUUCCCCAGAAUGGCGUUUCCGUCAUUUAUUUCAACUAUUUCAGUUCUUCUCCUAGCGCCAGGACCCGCUGCCAACUGCUGUUCGAUGGCUAUUUAAUUAAUAUGUGUGCUUCUGUAGCUGUUGUCCUUCGUUGUAACGUAUGUAGGUUGCUCCGCAAGUAAUGCCUCCUAUUUAUUUUCAUGGAAACUGCAGCAGAUACAAAGAGCAGAAUAACGCUGUGUGGUGGAGCAAACUCUCUAAUAAACACUAUUUUUUCAACAUAGUCACCAUCAUUAGCUGUGAGUUUUCAGCCGUGGUGAACAAGAGCCUGCUUGCAGCUCUUGUAAAUAUCUGCACCAGUGGAGGUCACCCAGUGUUUCACAGCUGCUAGCGGCACUGUUGCUAGGAAGAUGUUGCCCACACAAUCUAACUUUCAUUGUCCUAACUUUUUUUUUUUUGUCUCUAUAAACAUUCAGCAAGCAUCGGUGAAUGUCAGUGGGUGCAAUUUUUUCCACACUGAGAAACUCAGCUCCACACUUUUGCUUCAUACACACUUUGGCGUCAGACACCACUCUGUCAGAGUGCCCCUCUGCUGCCAUCUGUCGCACAGCAACAAAAUGGAAUGGAAUAUUGAUGGGCAUGUUCAAGCUCUACUGCCAUCCCGCCAACAUCCGCCUCUGACGUCGUGGGCCGACAUCAUGAAGAAGAAGGCAUUACUUCCGGAGCACCUCCCAUAGCAUUGAUUCAUGCCCAUGUGUAGGAUAUCUUGGUUAUUUUCCCUAUGUUAGAGGGAGAUUGACCUCAGUGCUGCAGCCCACAGCCAAGUCCAGGUCAGUGGAGCCAUGGGGCUCAGUAUCUCAGUGCUCACUGUACUCUCUGCUCACCCAAAACCCCAGAGCAGUUUCAUAAAAUAAGCUUUUUAUUUUUGCAAAUAUGUGUGAUUGCAUUUCCUGUGGGUAGUCCUCCACAGAUGUGUAAACCUGGCGGGUCUUGAUGUAGAAAUGGAAGAGGAAGAACCCUUACAUCGAGGGUGGUAAGGUGCUGGCACUGCUGCCCAGAGAGCUGUGGGUGCCCCAUCCCUGGAGGUGCCCAAGGCCAGGUUGGAUGGGCCCUGGGCAGCCUGAGCUGGUGGGGGCAGCCAGCUCGCGCCAUAGGGUUGGAAUUGGAUGAUCUUCCAGGU